rnacentral:rRNA from 1 species
CCUACGGGUGGCAGCAGUGAGGAAUAUUGGUCAAUGGACGAGAGUCUGAACCAGCCAAGUAGCGUGAAGGAUGACUGCCCUAUGGGUUGUAAACUUCUUUUAUAUGGGAAUAAAACGUUCCACGUGUGGGAUUUUGUAUGUACCAUAUGAAUAAGGAUCGGCUAACUCCGUGCCAGCAGCCGCGGUAAUACGGAGGAUCCGAGCGUUAUCCGGAUUUAUUGGGUUUAAAGGGAGCGUAGGUGGAUUGUUAAGUCAGUUGUGAAAGUUUGUGACUCAACCGUAAAAUUGCAGUUGAAACUGGCAGUCUUGAGUACAGUAGAGGUGGGCGGAAUUCGUGGUGUAGCGGUGAAAUGCUUAGAUAUCACGAAGAACUCCGAUUGCGAAGGCAGUUCACUGGACUGCAACUGACACUGAGGCUCGAAAGUGUGGGUAUCAAACAGGAUUAGAUACCCUGGUAGUC